rnacentral:rRNA from 1 species
UUAGAGUUUGAUCCUGGCUCAGGAUGAACUCUAGCGACAGGCCUAACACAUGCAAGUCGAGGGGUAACAGGGGCUUCGGCCCGCUGACGACCGGCGCACGGGUGAGUAACGCGUAUGCAACCUGCCUGUAACAGCGGGAUAGCUCCCUGAAAGGGGAAUUAACACCGCAUAAGACCACGCUCUCGCAUGGGGACGGGGUAAAAUAUUUAUAGGUUACAGAUGGGCAUGCGUGACAUUAGUUAGUUGGUGAGGUAACGGCUCACCAAGACUGCGAUGUCUAGGGGUUCUGAGAGGGAGGUCCCCCACACUGGAACUGAGACACGGUCCAGACUCCUACGGGAGGCAGCAGUGAGGAAUAUUGGUCAAUGGACGCAAGUCUGAACCAGCCAUGCCGCGUGCAGGAAGACGGCCUUAUGGGUUGUAAACUGCUUUUAUACGGGAGCAAUAAGGGUUACGAGUAAUCCGAUGAGAGUACUGUAUGAAUAAGGAUCGGCUAACUCCGUGCCAGCAGCCGCGGUAAUACGGAGGAUCCGAGCGUUAUCCGGAUUUAUUGGGUUUAAAGGGUGCUCAGGCGGGCCAUUAAGUCGGCGGUGAAAUUUUGCGGCUCAACCGUAAAAGUGCCUUCGAUACUGGUGGUCUUGAGUGUGGAUGAGGUAGGCGGAAUUUGUGGUGUAGCGGUGAAAUGCAUAGAUAUCACGAGGAACUCCGAUUGCUAAGGCAGCUUACUAAGCCAUAACUGACGCUCAAGCACGAAGGCGUGGGGAUCAAACAGGAUUAGAUACCCUGGUAGUCCGCGCAGUAAACGAUGAUUACUGGCUGUUUGCGAUAUAUUGUAAGCGGCUGAGCGAAAGCGUUAAGUAAUCCACCUGGGGAGUACGUUCGCAAGAAUGAAACUCAAAGGAAUUGACGGGGGCCCGCACAAGCGGCGGAGCAUGCGGAUUAAUUCGAGGCAACGCGAAGAACCUUACCAAGGCUUGACAUACACCUGGAGCGCGCGGAAACGUGUGUGACUUUGAUACAGGUUGUACAGGUGGUGCAUGGUUGUCGUCAGCUCGUGUCGUGAGAUGUUGGGUUAAGUCCCGUAACGAGCGCAACCCUUGUCUUAUGUUGCCAGCA